GAUGAACGCUGGCGGCGUGCCUAAUACAUGCAAGUCGAGCGAACAGACGAGGAGCUUGCUCCUCUGACGUUAGCGGCGGACGGGUGAGUAACACGUGGAUAACCUACCUAUAAGACUGGGAUAACUUCGGGAAACCGGAGCUAAUACCGGAUAAUAUAUUGAACCGCAUGGUUCAAUAGUGAAAGACGGUUUUGCUGUCACUUAUAGAUGGAUCCGCGCCGCAUUAGCUAGUUGGUGAGGUAACGGCUUACCAAGGCGACGAUGCGUAGCCGACCUGAGAGGGUGAUCGGCCACACUGGAACUGAGGCACGGUCCAGACUCCUACGGGAGGCAGCAGUAGGGAAUCUUCCGCAAUGGGCGAAAGCCUGACGGAGCAACGCCGCGUGAGUGAUGAAGGUCUUCGGAUCGUAAAACUCUGUUAUUAGGGAAGAACAAAUGUGUAAGUAACUAUGCACGUCUUGACGGUACCUAAUCAGAAAGCCACGGCUAACUACGUG
rnacentral:rRNA from 1 species